AUAUCAAUAAGCGGAGGAAAAGAAACCAACAGGGAUUGCCCCAGUAACGGCGAGUGAAGCGGCAAGAGCUCAAAUUUGAAAUCUGGCCUCCCCCGGGGGCCCGAGUUGUAAUUUGCAGAGGAUGCUUCGGGUGCGGCCACCGUAUAAGUUCCUUGGAACAGGACGUCAGAGAGGGUGAGAAUCCCGUCUUGGGCGGGCGGUCCGCGCCCGUGUGAAGCUCCUUCGACGAGUCGAGUUGUUUGGGAAUGCAGCUCUAAGCGGGUGGUAAAUUUCAUCUAAAGCUAAAUAUUGGCCGGAGACCGAUAGCGCACAAGUAGAGUGAUCGAAAGGUUAAAAGCACCUUGAAAAGGGAGUUAAACAGCACGUGAAAUUGUUGAAAGGGAAGCGCUUGCGGCCAGACUCGGGGGCGGGGUUCAGCGGGUGCUCGUCGCCCGUGUAUUCCUCGUCUCCCGGGCCAGCAUCAGUUUCGACGGCCGGUCAAAGGCCCCCGGAAUGUGUCGUCUCUCGGGACGUCUUAUAGCCGGGGGUGCAAUGCGGCCCGUCGGGACUGAGGAACGCGCUCCGGCUCGGAUGCUGGCGUAAUGGCCGUAAGCGGC
rnacentral:rRNA from 1 species